GUGGGUUGAGAAUCACCUGUUGCUCUGACUUUGGCCGUGGGUAGAUUUGGUGCCCAGAGCCAGCUGGACCUUACCACCCCACCCACUCUAUAGUAGGCAGAGGUGAAACCCAGGCCAUGGCCUGC